rnacentral:rRNA from 1 species
GAUGAACGCUGGCGGCGUGCCUAACACAUGCAAGUCGAACGAAGAACUUUUAAAGUAAUUUUCGAAAUACUUUAAGGGUUUCUAGUGGCAGACGGCUGAGUAAUACAUUGGUACCUACCCCAAAGUGGGGGAUAGCUCAUCGAAAGAUGGGGUAAUCCCGCAUGUGACCGUAAGGUUAAAGCUUUUGCGCUUUGGGAAGGGCCUUUGUCCUAUCAGUUUGUUGGUGAGGUAAUGGCUCACCAAGACUAUGACGGGUAGCUGGAUCGAGAGGUUGACCAGCCAGACUGGGACUGAGACACGGCCCAGACUCCUACGGGAGGCAGCAGUGGGGAAUUUUGGACAAUGGGCGAAAGCCUGAUCCAGCAAUGCCGCGUGCAGGAUGAAGGCCUUCGGGUUGUAAACUGCUUUUGUACGGAACGAAAAGCCCCGGGUUAAUACCCUGGGGUCAUGACGGUACCGUAAGAAUAAGCACCGGCUAACUACGUGCCAGCCGCCGCCGUAA